AACGAACGCUGGCGGCGUGCCUAACACAUGCAAGUCGUGCGAGAAAGUUCCUUCGGGAGCGAGUAAAGCGGCGCACGGGUGAGUAACACGUAGGUAACCUGCCCCCCAGUCUGGAACAACUAGAGGAAACUCUAGCUAAUGCCGGAUGAGACCACGAUCCCUUCGGGGGUUGCGGCCAAAGAUGGCCUCUACUUGUAAGCUAUCGCUGAGGGAUGGGCCUGCGGGCCAUUAGCUUGUUGGUGAGGUAACGGCUCACCAAGGCUGUGAUGGCUAGCUGGUCUGAGAGGAUGACCAGCCACACUGGGACUGAGACACGGCCCAGACUCCUACGGGAGGCAGCAGUGGGAAUAUUGCGCAAUGGGCGAAAGCCUGACGCAGCGACGCCG
rnacentral:rRNA from 1 species